rnacentral:rRNA from 1 species
GCUAGUUGUACGAGUUGAGACUCGUAGCAAAUAGCUCAGUAACACGUGGCCAAACUACCCUAUAGAUCCAGACAACCUCGGGAAACUGAGGCUAAUCCGGAAUAGGGCUCUCAUCCUGGAGUGGAGAGAGCCUGAAACGCUCCGGCGCUAUAGGAUGUGGCUGCGGCCGAUUAGGUAGACGGUGGGGUAACGGCCCACCGUGCCAGUAAUCGGUACGGGUUGUGAGAGCAAGAGCCCGGAGACGGUAUCUGAGACAAGAUACCGGGCCCUACGGGGCGCAGCAGGCGCGAAACCUUUACACUGCACGCCAGUGCGAUAAGGGGACUCCAAGUGCGAGGGCAUAUAGUCCUCGCUUUUUGCGACCGUAAGGUGGUCGCGGAAUAAGUGCUGGGCAAGACCGGUGCCAGCCGCCGCGGUAAUACCGGCAGCACAAGUGAUGACCGCUGUUAUUGGGCCUAAAGCGUCCGUAGCUGGCCGCACAAGUCUAUCGGGAAAUCUCUCCGCUUAACGGAGAGGCGUCCGGUGGAAACUGUGUGGCUUGGGACCGGAAGACCAGAGGGGUACGUCUGGGGUAGGAGUGAAAUCCCGUAAUCCUGGACGGACCACCGGUGGCGAAAGCGCCUCUGGAAGACGGAUCCGACGGUGAGGGACGAAAGCUCGGGUCACGAACCGGAUUANAUACCCGGGUAGUCCGAGCUGUANCGAUGUCUGCUAGGUGUGACACAGGCUACGAGCCUGUGUUGUGCCGUANGGAAGCCGUGAAGCAGACCGCCUGGGAAGUACGUCCGCAAGGAUGAAACUUAAAGGAAUUGGCGGGGGAGCACUACAACCGGAGGAGCCUGCGGUUUAAUUGGACUCAACGCCGGACAUCUCACCAGCAUCGACAAUGUGCAGUGACGGUCAGUAUGAUGAGCUUACCUGAGCCAUUGAGAGGAGGUGCAUGGCCGCCGUCAGCUCGUACCGUGAGGCGUCCUGUUAAGUCAGGCAACGAGCGAGACCCGCACCCUUAAUUGCCAGCAGCACCCUUGUGGUGGCUGGGUACAUUAAGAGGACUGCCAGUGCCAAACUGGAGGAAGGAACGGGCAACGGUAGGUCAGUAUGCCCCGAAUGUGCUGGGCGACACGCGGGCUACAAUGGCCAAGACAGUGGGAUGCAACGCCGAAAGGCGACGCUAAUCUCCGAAACUUGGUCGUAGUUCGGAUUGAGGGCUGAAACUCGCCCUCAUGAAGCUGGAUUCGGUAGUAAUCGCGCCUCAGAAGGGCGCGGUGAAUACGUCCCUGCUCCUUGCACACACCGCCCGUCAAAGCACCCGAGUGGGGUCCGGAUGAGGCCC